AACUUAUCAAGAGAGGUGGAGGGAACAGGCCCAUUGAAGCCCGGCAACCAAUACGUUGUAUAAUGGUGCCAAAUCCUGCAGCGAAGGCUGAAAGAUGAGAG
rnacentral:ncRNA from 2 species